rnacentral:rRNA from 1 species
UACGUAGGGGGCAAGCGUUGUCCGGAAUUAUUGGGCGUAAAGAGCUCGUAGGCGGUCUGUCGCGUCUGCUGUGAAAACUCAGGGCUUAACCCUGAGCUUGCAGUGGGUACGGGCAGACUAGAGUGCGGUAGGGGAGACUGGAAUUCCUGGUGUAGCGGUGAAAUGCGCAGAUAUCAGGAGGAACACCGAUGGCGAAGGCAGGUCACUGGGCCGCAACUGACGA